UACGAAGGGGGGCUAGCGUUGUUCGGAAUUACUGGGCGUAAAGGGCGCGUAGGCGGUGCCUCAAGUCAGGCGUGAAAGCCCCGGGCUCAACCUGGGAACCGCGCUUGAGACUGGAGUACUAGAGUUCGGGAGAGGAUGGUGGAAUUCCCGGUGUAGUGGUGAAAUGCGUAGAUAUCGGGAGGAACACCAGUGGCGAAGGCGACUACCUGGCCUGUUUCUUGACGCUGAGGCGCGAAAGCUAGGGGAGCAAACAGG
rnacentral:rRNA from 1 species